GUGGGACUACAGAAUCUGGACCAGAUAUGGAUGGCUGGAGUUUGCAGUGGUGUAGCUGUGUUGGAGGGCGUGUAAGUGACAUGUUGAGACUGGGGCUCUUGAAAACGCCUAGAUUGACAAUCCUGAAGACCAAAGUCCUCUACUAACCCAUAGAACAGAUACGGCACUGGGAGCAGCAACAUAAGAAUCCUCAAUGCUACCCUUUGUCAAUGUGCCACUUGGGAUGGGCGUGGCAGCCAGGUGCAGCAGCUGCUUCCAGAUCUCAAGUCUACCCCAGAUCAAUUGCAUCACCUCUUCCAAAGCACUGUCCAACUGGUGAGAAGGAUUCCAGGCAUAUAUGUGGGAACUGAACGCAUCUCCUUCACACAGCUAUCCAGAAAGUGGAGCAGCCUUAUUUAGAAGGAAAUUAUACAGACGGGAAGAGGUGUAAAUAGUGGAGAGUUAAAGAUAAAACUUUCAAAAGUACCUAAGUAAUUUAGGAG